rnacentral:tmRNA from 1 species
GGGGGUGACAGGCUUCGACUUCGGUAGUUGAUCUAGGUGAAGCGGGCCGAGGACGGCGGACAUAACCUCGUAAAACCUGUGACCGCACCUCAAUAAGUGCCAAUGUAAAGCGCACUCACCUCGCCCUCGCGGCCUAACGCGAGGUAGAGGUUGUCAGCCCGGGAGCGCCUCCGGCCCGGUGUCUGGCAUCAGCUAGGAGGAUCCACCGUUCAGCCCGGUCGCGG